rnacentral:tRNA from 1 species
GGGCGGUUAGCUCAGUUGGUAGAGCGUGUCUUUGACGUAGACAAGGCCACAAGUUCAAAUCUUGUACCGCCCACCA